rnacentral:rRNA from 1 species
GACGAACGCUGGCGGCGUGCUUAACACAUGCAAGUCGAACGCUCUCCGUCUUCGGACAGAGGGAGUGGCGGACGGGUGAGUAACACGUGGGUAAUCUACCCUGAGGUGAGGAAUACCGACGAGAAAUCGUCGACAAUACCGCAUAGGCUCGGCAACGAGCAAAGCUUCGCGUAAGCGAGGUACCACAGGAUGAGCCCGCGGCCGAUUAGCUCGUUGGUGGGGUGAUGGCCUACCAAGGCGACGAUCGGUAGCUGGUCUGAGAGGAUAAUCAGCCACACUGGGAUUGAGAACGGCCCAGACUCCUACGGGAGGCAGCAGUGAGGAAUUUUCCGCAAUGGGCGCAAGCCUGACGGAGCAACGCCGCGUGCAGGAUGACGGUCUUCGGAUCGUAAACUGCUUUUCCUAGGGAAGAGAACGGACGGUACCUGGGGAAGAAGCCUCGGCUAACUACGUGCCAGCAGCCGCGGUAAGACGUAGGAGGCAAGCGUUAUCCGGAGUUACUGGGCGUAAAGCGCACGCAGGCGGUCCGCCGCGUUUGAGGUCACAGCUCCCAGCUUCACUGGGAGAGCGCCUUGAAGACGGGCGGACUCAGAGGACCAGAGAGGGACAGAGAAUUCCGGGUGGAGCGGUGAAAUGCGUAGAGAUCCGGAGGAAUACCGAAGGCGAAGGCCCUGUCCUGGCUGGCUCCUGACGCUAAUGUGCGAAAGCUAGGGGAGCGAACGGGAUUAGAUACCCCGGUAGUCCUAGCCGUAAACGAUGACCACUAGACGUGGGAGGGAUCGACCCCUUCUGUGUCGUAGCCAACGCGAGAAGUGGUCCGCCUGGGGAGUACGGUCGCAAGAUUAAAACUCAAAGGAAUUGACGGGGACCCGCACAAGCAGCGGAGCGUGUGGUUUAAUUCGAUGCAACGCGAAGAACCUUACCAGGGUUUGACAUGCCCGUGAACGCGGCAGAAAUGUCGUUCCCUUCGGGGCACGGGCACAGGUGCUGCAUGGCUGUCGUCAGCUCGUGCCGUGAGGUGUUGGGUUAAGUCCCGCAACGAGCGCAACCCUCAUCGUCGGUUGGAUUUCUCCGACGAGACUGCCACGAGGAACGUGGAGGAAGGUGGGGAUGACGUCAAGUCAGCACGGCCCUUACAUCCUGGGCGACACACACGCUACAAUGGCUGGGACAACGGGAGGCCAACCCGCGAGGGGGAGCCAAUCCCAGCAAAACCAGUCUCAGUUCGGAUUGCAGGCUGCAACCCGCCUGCAUGAAGUCGGAGUUGCUAGUAACCGUGAGUCAGCACAUCACGGUGAAUCCGUUCCCGGGUCUUGUACACACCGCCCGUCACACCACGAAAGUCGGCCACACCUGAAGCCGCCAGGCUAACCCACUCGGGAGGCAGGCGUCGAGGGUGGGGUUGGUGAUUGGGGUG